AUUGAACGCUGGCGGCAGGCCUAACACAUGCAAGUCGAACGAGUGGCGGACGGGUGAGUCAUGUCUGGGAAACUGCCCGAUGGAGGGGGAUAACUACUGGAAACGGUAGCUAAUACCGCAUACCAUCGGAUGUGCCAAGCUGGGAGUAGCUAGUAGGUGGGGUAACGGCGCACCUAGGCGACGCUCCCUAGCUGGUCGGAGAGGAUGACCAGCCACACUGGAACGGAGACACGGUCCAGACUCCUCCGGGAGGCAGCAGUGGGGAAUAUUGCACAAUGGGCGAAAGCCUGAGGCAGCCAGGCCGCGGGGAUGAAGAAGGCUUUCGGGUUGUAAAGUACUUUCAGCGAGGAGGCGUUACUCGCAGAAGAAGCACCGGCUAACUCCGUGCCAGCAGCCGCGGUAAUUC
rnacentral:rRNA from 1 species